rnacentral:rRNA from 1 species
UACGGAGGGUGCAAGCGUUAAUCGGAAUUACUGGGCGUAAAGCGUGCGUAGGCGGUUCGUUAAGUCUGUUGUGAAAGCCCCGGGCUCAACCUGGGAAUGGCAAUGGAUACUGGCGAGCUAGAGUGUGUCAGAGGAUGGUGGAAUUCCCGGUGUAGCGGUGAAAUGCGUAGAGAUCGGGAGGAACAUCAGUGGCGAAGGCGGCCAUCUGGGACAACACUGACGCUGAGGCACGAAAGCGUGGGGAGCAAACAG